GAAGAAAGCGGGGGGCGUGCUUAACACAUGCAAGUCGAACGGAAAGGCCCUGCUUUUGUGGGGUGCUCGAGUGGCGAACGGGUGAGUAACACGUGAGUAACCUGCCCUUGACUUUGGGAUAACUUCAGGAAACUGGGGCUAAUACCGGAUAGGAGCUCCUGCUGCAUGGUGGGGGUUGGAAAGUUUCGGCGGUUGGGGAUGGACUCGCGGCUUAUCAGCUUGUUGGUGGGGUAGUGGCUUACCAAGGCUUUGACGGGUAGCCGGCCUGAGAGGGUGACCGGCCACAUUGGGACUGAGAUACGGCCCAGACUCCUACGGGAGGCAGCAGUGGAGAAUAUUGCACAAUGGGCGGAAGCCUGAUGCAGCAACGCCGCGUGCGGGAUGACGGCCUUCGGGUUGUAAACCGCUUUCGCCUGUGACGAAGCGUGAGUGACGGUAAUGGGUAAAGAAGCACCGGCUAACUACGUG
rnacentral:rRNA from 1 species